rnacentral:rRNA from 1 species
GACGAACGCUGGCGGCGUGCUUAACACAUGCAAGUCGAACGGAAAGGCCCUGCUUUUGUUGGGUUCUCGAUUGGCGAACGGGUGAGUAACACGUGAGUAACCUGCCCUUGACUUUGUGAGAACUUCAGGAAACUGGGGCUAAUACCGGAUAGGAUCUCCUGCUGCGUGGUGGGGGUUGGAGAGUUUCGGCUGUUGGGGAUGGACUCGCGGCUUAUCAGCUUGUUGGUGAGGUAGUGGCUUACCAAGGCUUUGACGGGUAGCCGGCAUGAGAGGGUGACCGGCCACAUUGGGACUGAGAUACGGCGCAGACUCCUACGGGAGGCAGCAGUGGGGAAUAUUGCACAAUGGGCGGAAGCCUGAUGCAGCAACGCCGCGUGCGGGAUGACGGCCUUCGGGUUGUAAACAGCUUUCGAAUGUGACGAAGCGUGAGUGACGGUAAUGGGUAAAGAAGCACCGGCUAACUACGUG